rnacentral:misc_RNA from 1 species
GUUACUACCAGCCAGCUCCU